rnacentral:rRNA from 1 species
CCUACGGGUGGCAGCAGUGAGGAAUAUUGGUCAAUGGACGAGAGUCUGAACCAGCCACGUCGCGUGAGUGAUGACUGCCCUAGGGAUUGUAAGCUUCUUUUAUAAGGGAAUAAAACGAGGCACGUGUGCCUUUUUGCAUGUACUUUAUGAAUAAGGAUCGGCUAACUCCGUUCCAGCAGCCGCGGUAAUACGGAGGAUGCGAGCGUUAUCCGGAUUGAUUGGGUUUAAAGGGAGCGUAGAAGGGUGGUGAAGUCAGUUGUGAAAGUUUGGGGCUCAACCCUAAAAUUGCAAUUGAUACUGGCAGUCUUGAGUACAGUUGAGGUAGGCGGAAUUCGUGGUGUAGCGGUGAAAUGCUUAGAUAUUACGAAGAACCCCGAUUGCGAAGGCAGCUUACUAAACUGUGACUGACAUUGAGGCUCGAAAGUGUGGGUAUCAAACAGGAUUAGAUACCCCUGUAGUC